rnacentral:rRNA from 1 species
UACGUAGGGCGCAAGCGUUGUCCGGAAUUAUUGGGCGUAAAGAGCUCGUAGGCGGUCUGUCGCGUCCGUUGUGAAAACUCGAGGCUCAACCUCGGGCUUGCAGUGGAUACGGGCAGACUAGAGUGCGGUAGGGGAGACUGGAAUUCCUGGUGUAGCGGUGGAAUGCGCAGAUAUCAGGAGGAACACCGAUGGCGAAGGCAGGUCUCUGGGCCGCAACUGACGCUGAGGAGCGAAAGCAUGGGGAGCAAACAGG